AAUUAUAAUUAAUAUUUAUAAUAAAAAAAAUUAUUAUAUAAGAUUUUAACCACAUUUUUAUGCAAACUGAAAAGGAAAACAAAUUUUUAUAUAGAAAAACUAUGUUCCUUUAGUAUCAGGAUUUAUCUAAUCAAGAAGAAAUUUAAAUUUCCCGAAAAUAUAUGAUCUAUUAAUUUUAAUAAUAUUUAUUUCAAAAAAUUAUUAAAAUUAUUAAUAGAAAUUAAACAUUUACGUAUAUAUUAUAUCUGGUUAAAAAGAAAGAAACAACUUCAAAUAAAGUUUCGUAAAACAAGUUACAAAAUAAAUUUAUCACUUUACUUUCAAAAAUAAAGACUUAUAGUAUCCUAAAAGUUUAACAACUAAUAAUUACAAAAUAAUAAAUUAUAAUACUUUUUAAAAAUUUAUAUAAAACUAUAAUGAUAAAAUAAGUAAACCAAUAAUAUUUUUUAUAAUAACUCAUCUAAAAUUAAGUGACUGUUUAACAAAAACAUUUUUAUUAGUAAAUAAUUAAUAAUAAGGUCUGCUCAAUGAAAUUUAAAUAGCCGCUUUUGUGCUAAGGUAGCAUAAUAAUUUGUCUUUUAAUUAAAGACUAGAACAAAAGACUUAACAUCUUAAUUUAUAUUUAAAAAUAAACUAUUAAAAUUAUUUUAAUUGUAAAAAAACAAUUAUUACAAAGAAAGACGAUAAGACCCUAUCGAACUUAACUUUAGUUUAACUGGGGCAGUUAAUUAAUUAUUACUUUAAUAACAUUAAACACUGAAUUUGACCUAAUACAAUUAAUAAAAUAAUCAAGUUACCGUAGGGAUAACAGCGUAAUAUAAUUUUUAAGAUCUUAUUUAAAAUUAAGAUUGCGACCUCGAUGUUGAUUUAAUAUCCUGUUUCACGCAAUAGUGAAUCAAGGAAGUCUGUUCGACUUUUAAAAAAUUACAUGAUUUGAGUUCAGACCGGUGUAAACCAGGUCGGUUUCUAUCUUCUAAAAUAUUUCUUCUAGUACGAAAGGACCUAAGAAAAUAAUAACAUU
rnacentral:rRNA from 1 species